AGCCGCCAGCGAAAAUCCAUUUUCGCUGGCGUUGGCUUAAGACGACCGCUAGCGAAAAUGGAUUUUUGCUGGCGGUC
rnacentral:pre_miRNA from 14 species